rnacentral:rRNA from 1 species
GACGAACGCUGGCGGCGUGCUUAACACAUGCAAGUCGAGCGGUAAGGCCCUUCGGGGUACACGAGCGGCGAACGGGUGAGUAACACGUGGGUGACCUGCCUUUAGCUCUGGGAUAAGCCUGGGAAACUGGGUCUAAUACCGGAUAUGACUCCACGGCGCAUGUUGUGGGGUGGAAAGCCUUGUGCGGCUGGAGAUGGGCCCGCGGCCUAUCAGCUUGUUGGUGGGGUGANGGCCUACCAAGGCGACGACGGGUAGCCGGCCUGAGAGGCGACCGGCCACACUGGGACUGAGACACGGCCCAGACUCCUACGGGAGGCAGCAGUGGGGAAUCUUGCGCAAUGGGCGAAAGCCUGACGCAGCGACGCCGCGUGA